GGGCCCGCACAAGCGGUGGAGUAUGUGGUUUAAUUCGAUGAUACGCGAAGAACCUUACCUGGGCUCUAAUGCGAGUGACCGCUCCUGAAAGGGAGCUUUCCUUCGGGACACGAAGCAAGGUGCUGCAUGGUUGUCGUCAGCUCGUGCCGUGAGGUGUUGGGUUAAGUCCCGCAACGAGCGCAACCCCUAUCUUUAGUUGCCAGCAUUUAGUUGGGCACUUCUAGAGAGACUGCCGGUGAUAAACCGGAGGAAGGUGUGGAUGACGUCAAGUCAUCAUGCCCCUUACAUCCUGGGCUACACACGUACUACAAUGCUACGGACAAAGGGCUGCAAGUUCGCGAGGACAAGCAAAUCCCAUAAACCGUGGCUCAGUUCAGAUCGUAGGCUGCAACUCGCCUACGUGAAGGCGGAAUCGCUAGUAAUCGCAGGUC
rnacentral:rRNA from 1 species